UGCCUUUUGUGUUGCCCGUUCACUUUGGUCACUAGUGGAUGUGGUGUCAAAAAAGGCAGAAAUAAAACACUUGGCAGCCUUUCUUCUUGCCUUGGGAUUUUUGUUCCAUUGGCGAGUGUGCUGUGUAAGUAACAAGU
rnacentral:snoRNA from 1 species